CUGCCAUAGAGGCAGCAGGGAUGACAAGGGAUGUUCAGUUGAUGUGGGUGAAUUGGACUAUUUUCCUGUCCUGCUAAGCAUUCAAAAUGUAACAAGUACUUUUGGGUGUCAAGAAAAAUUUAUGGAGUAAAAAGUAAAAUUUUUAUUAAGGAAUGUAGUGAAGUGAAAGUAAAAGUAGUCAAACAUAAAUAGUAAAGUAAAGUACAAAUACCCCCCAAAACGACUUAAUUAGUACUAUUUUUACUUACGUACUGUACACUACUGCUGGCUAUGACUAUCCAACACUGGAACACUUCCAAGUCAAGGUCAGUUACACCCACCGGUGUAACUGCUUACAGACUGUACACUGUAAUGUUGCUGCAUGAUUGCAGUGGGUUUACUAAUAUGUUAGUUCUAUUAGCUUUGUUGACCAUGACGUUACUUUAGCUAAUAUGGAGACAACAAUGUAGGCUGUGUGUAGUGGUUAUGAUAUGGUUUUGCUUGGAAAGUUGUUUUUGCCUGGACACAUUGUAACAGUCUUGACUUGAGGUUAUUAUUUAUAGGGGUGCCAGGUAGGUUGUGCCUACCAGAGAAAACAUUGGUUUCUCCUUUUGGUUUGUUAGGGAAUGAGUCCCAUCUGGUCCGUCAAGUCUACACCAAUACAAAGGACUUGUGUAAAAGUCAGGAUGGAAAUAAACUUUUCAUAAACCCUUGGAAAGAACUUCAACAACUAUAUUCUUUUGCAUGGGUUGUAUUAGCAACAUCAAUGAUUACACACACAUAUACUAAUAUCACAAUGAGUUCUGGUUCCUCCAGAAAUGUCCUGUACCUCAGGCCUAAAAACAAAAGAGUCCAGCCCGGUAAAGGAGUUCAGGGAACUCAAGUGACUUUUGUCACGCAAUGUUUGUCCGUUUUCCGUGUAGCGGAAACCCAGUAUUAAUCAUAAAAACAAUAUAAAGCGUAUCAACUCUAAGUCCUCCCCUACACCGAACUACACAAAUCAUCACAGUAUACCUCACAUCAAAACAAAUGAAAUACCGUAUACAAAAAGGUUGUAGUCGGUCAGUCAGCCAAUCCAAUCCACCAACUGAGAAAGUCCACAGAGAGGUGUAGUCCACGGACGCAAAGAGUGGAUCCGAUCCUGGGUAAACUCUAUUAGGCUACAAAACAAACGGAAUAGAGAAGCUUCAGAACUGAGGGUUGAACACAUCCUCAUUCACGUCUCCAUCACAACCCCACUUUGGCACAGCUGAUCCUGGCUAUUUAAUUGCGAAUUAAAGGGAAAGCGCCCUAUUGGAAGGAGAAGCACUGAGACGGUUCAAAAAAAUUCAGGGCCGUCACAACAUACAGUUGAUGUGUGGUGCAUUGAAGUUCACAAUCAAAGGGGAAAGGAGAGAGGAGAUGAGCGAUAGAUGCGAGAAGGAAUACAAUGUGGCAAGACCUGAGCCCUAGGACCAUGCCUCAGGACUACCUGGCAUGAUGACUCCUUGCUGUCCCUAGUCCACCUGGCCGUGCUGCUGCUCCAGUUUCAACUGUUCUGCCUGCGGCUAUGGAACCCUGACCUGACCAACCCUGACCAACUCUCUAGAGACAAGCAGGAGCGGUAGAGAUACUAUCAAUGAUCGCCUAUGAAAAGCCAACUGACAUUUACUCCUGAGGUGCUGACUUGUUGCACCCUCGACAACUACUGUGAUUAUUAUUACUUGACCAUGCUGGUCAUUUAUGAACAUUUGAACAUCUUGGCCAUGUUCUGUUAUAAUCUCCACCCGGCACAGCCAGAAGAGGAUUGGCCACCCUUCAUAGCCUGGUUCUUCUCUAGGUUUCUUCCUAGGUUUUGGCCUUUCUAGGGAGUUUUUCCCAGCCACCGUGUUUCUACACCUGCAUUGCUUGCUGUUUGUGGUUUUAGGCUAGGUUUCUGGACUGCACUUUGAUAUAUCAGCUGAUGUAAGAAGGGCUAUAUAAAUACAUUUAUUUGAUAGGUCUACAUGUUUCUCCUUUGCAUGGUGUUAUUUUUUUAGUUCUUCAUUGUCAAGCUUUAAAAACUAAAGCCAGACUGCAACAUUUUAGUAGCCUAGCUAGGACUGUGACAUGUGUCUGUACACUUUCCCUCGGCUGCACGCUGUAAACGGGACACACAAAAGCAGCACAAUUUAAGUAUAAUUCACUGAUGCAUGUGCAUCAGGCUGUAAUUUCAUAAAGUAGAUGACUCAACGGUUGACUCAUUUAUACUCAUUUGUGUCCUAUUCGGACUGCGGGCCUUGUGUUUGACCCAUGUGCGCCAGCCUAAUAGCCACGUUAUGACUGCGUUGUGGUCAUAGGCAUUGUAGCCUAGUGGUUAGAGCGUUGGACUAGUAACCAGAAGGUUGCAAGUUCAAAUCCCCGAGCUGAUAAGGUACAAAUCUGUCAUUCUGCCCCUGAACAGGCAGUUAACCCACUGUUCCUAGGCUGUCAUUGAAAAUAAGAAUUUGUUCUUAACUGACUUGCCUAGUUAAAUAAAGGUUAAAAAAAAUACAAAAAAUUGCCCGUCAACAUGGGUCAGCAUCCCUGGGGAACGCUUUGACACCUUGUAGUCCAUACCCUGACAAAUGGAGUCUGAUCAGAGGGCAAAAGGGGGUGCAACUCAAUAUUAUUUUGGAUAUUUAACUGUUUUCUAAAUAUUUCAUGGGGGUGCGACUGCAAUUUGCAACACUUCUGCAGACUCACACAUAACUGCAGCACAACAAGACGUUUUCCUCUGCCACAUCUACACUGGACAAAUAUAGUAUAGACUACACAGGAGGUUGGUGGCACCUUAAUUGGGGAGGAUGGGCUUGUGGUAAUGACUGGGGCGGAAUAAGUGAAAUGUUUUCAAAUACAGUACAUCAAACACAUGGUUUCCAUCUGUUUGAUGCCCUUCCAUUAACUAUGUUCCAGCCAUUAUUAUGAGCCGUCCUCCCCUCAGCAGCCUCCUACCCUCCUGUAUGUUUUUAGCUCCAACCUUAAUAUAGGGCACCUGAUUCUAAUAAUUAGCUUGUUGAUACGCUUAAUCGGUUAGUUAAAACUGGGAAGGAGUGAAAACCUACAGGAGGGUAGCUCUCCAGGAACAGGGUUGGAGAGCCCUGGACUAGAGUGUUCCGUUCCUUUCAGUAGUGUUCCUUCCUUUUAGUAGGGAUAGAUACAACGCCUUAAAGCAGGGAGGCUGCAGAAGACAGAUGGUCUCGGGAGACUCACGCUGCAGUCUGUCAUGCAAGCGAUAGCAGCAUAGCGCACUACGGCCAUGGAUGGCUGACCCCGUCCUAACAGGAAAUAGAAAAAUAAAUAGAUCGGUUGGACAGGCUGAGUGUCAGAGCUACGUGUGGAAAGAAAAAUACUGGGCCGUGACAAAGGCUAGAAAGAUGUAAAGUUGCUGAGUUUAGACAGCCCAUUGCUAGUGUGUACUCUAAACAGGGGGGCACUUCUUUUAAUGAGAAAGGAAGGUCCCUAUUGGCCAAAGAAAGAUUCAUAUUUCAUGUUUGGCAAAGUGUGCUCUGACCUAAAGGACUAAGCCUAGGGCUAUGACAAUAUUGUGUAUGGUUGCUAGGUACUGUAAGGACAAAUUAUGGAUAGAACAAAUUCCUUUCAAAGACAAUGACAAUUUGCCUUGUUGUCUUCCUUUCCAAGACAAGACAAAUUCCUUUCCAAGACAACUCACAAAGUGCGUUGGACCUGAAAGUAUACCGAACCAGCAAAAGUAGAUGUGCUGGAUGGGCUAUAUCCUACAUGUUUUAUUUUCCAAGGAAUAGCGAUGAAGUCAAUAUGAAAUAUGAUUGUUAUAUGAUUAUAGACCGAAAACUAUAAUGUUGUGCAAAGCAGAGUAAUGUGCAUAGCUUUUAGUAAACCAAACCCCUGGGAAUAAUUUAAUUAAAGUUGACUUUAAAUCAAAUAAAAUUAAAUUCAUCACAUACUCUGUAAACAACAGGUGAAAUGCUUACUACAUGCCCUUCACAAAGAUAUAGAGAGAAAAAUAGAAAAAAAUAACACAAGGACCAAAUACACAAUGAGUAACUGUUACGCCCUGGCCUUAGUUCCUUUUUUAUGUCUCUAUUUUAGUUUGGUCAGGGCGUGAGUUGGGGUGGGAAUUCUAUGUAUUGUUCUAUGUUUUUGUAUUUCUGUGUUUGGCCUGGUAUGGUUCCCAAUCAGAGGCAGCUGUUUAUUGUUGUCUCUGAUUGAGAACCAUACUGAGGCAGCCUGUUUUCCCACUAUGAUUUGUUUUCUGUCUUUGUAUUAGUUACCAGACGGAACUGUUUCAGUUGUUCUUUUUGUUUACUUUGUAUUGUAGUGUUCAGUUCAGUUUAAUAAAAUGACGAACACUUA